AUGUGCGAUGUGGCUGAUGAGGCGCAGUCCGUUGGCGAGUGGUGGGAGAGGUUGUGCUCUGCCAGAGGAUCGAGGGAGCGAAACAGGGAGGAGAUGACUCUUGCUGCCUACAUUGUGUGGAAUCUCUGGAAGGAGAGGAAUCGGAGAGUUUUCGAGCAUAAGGAAUUAACGGUUCUUGCGCUAACUGGAAUCAUCAAGGAUGACGUUAAGUGCUUCGAGCUCUUGCUGUUCCCGUCAAAAAAAUAUCUUGAUUUUUCAAACAAUAUGUUGGAGGGCGAAAUUCCAGAGUGCUAUGGGGUCAGAUUAAUCAGAUACCUUCUGUUAAGCAACAACAGUUUAUCAUGUACAUUUCCAUCAUUUUUGAAGAAGUGCACACGUCUUGAGUUCCUCGAUUUAUCAUGGAAUAAUUUUCUUGGAAGGUUACCAACAUGGAUUGGAGAGCUAAGGGGAUACAUAUACUACGAUUAGGUCACAAUAUGUUUCUGUUUCGUGGCACUAUUCCAGUUACAAUAGCAGAUCUUAGAAAUCUUCAGUACCUGGAUCUAUCAAAUAAUAACAUAUCCGGUGUUAUACCCGGGCAUCUGUCAAACCUGACAUGCAUGACUCUGAAGGGCUUCAAACCUAUAGAAUUAUAUACUACCAGAUGGACUCAACUUGGUAGUGUAACCCAUUUUGGACAGUAUGGAAGAUGCUUGUCAAUAAUUACAAAAGGCAAACGACUUGGGUAUGGUGGCACCCUUGCAUAUUUCGUGGGCAUUGAUUUAUCAGGCAACUCCUUAACAGGUGGAAUUCCAUCAGAUAUCACUUCCCUUGAUGCAGUAAUAAGUUUGAAUUUAUCAUCAAACCAUCUGAGCGGAAUGAUUCCAAAUGAUAUUGGUGCCUUGCAUUCAUUGGAAUCUCUUGACCUCUCCAUGAACAAGCUUACUAGUGAAAUCCCAUCGAGUUUAUCAAGUUUGACAUCCCUGAGUUACUUGAACUUGUCCUACAACAAUUUAUCUGGAAGGAUACCCUCAAGCCGCCAACUUGGCACCCUCAAUGUAGACAACCCAGCACUUAUGUACAUUGGCAACAGUGGACUUUGUGGGCCUCCUCUCCAGAAGAAUUGUUCAGGAAAUGAUACGGGCACUAGUCAUGUUGGAAGCAACAACCAUGAGGAAUUUGAACUGAUGACCUUCAAAUUUGGUCUUGUCCUGGGACUUGUGGCGGGGCUUUGGAGUGUGUCCUGUGCACUUUUGUUCAAGAAGGCAUGGAGGACAGCUUAUUUUCAACUCUUUGAUGAGAUGUAUGACAGAAUCUAUGUAUACGUGGUUGUGAAAUGGGCAAGCUUGGUAAGGAAAACAGAUGAAAAUGAACAAGUUGCCUGAAGGAGCCAAUGUCUGUGCCACGACCAAUAGAAUGGGGGCUCUAUACAACACGCGUUGUCUAGCUAGCGUGCCUUGCCUAAUUUUUUAUAUCUGAAUAAAGAUGGAGAUGUUGAUUAGUCCUUCUUAUACAUGUAAAACUUCAGAUGUUAUAAAUCAGAACUUCAA